rnacentral:rRNA from 1 species
GACGAACGCUGGCGGUGUGCUUAACACAUGCAAGUCGAACGGAAAGGCCCUGCUUUUGUGGGGUGCUCGAGUGGCGAACGGGUGAGUAACACGUGAGUAACCUGCCCUUGACUUUGGGAUAACUUCAGGAAACUGGGGCUAAUACCGGAUAGGAGCUCCUGCUGCAUGGUGGGGGUUGGAAAGUUUCGGCGGUUGGGGAUGGACUCGCGGCUUAUCAGCUAGUUGGUGGGGUAGUGGCUUACCAAGGCUUUGACGGGUAGCCGGCCUGAGAGGGUGACCGGCGACAUUGGGACUGAGAUACGGCCCAGACUCCUACGGGAGGCAGCAGUGGGGAAUAUUGCACAAUGGGCGGAAGCCUGAUGCAGCAACGCCGCGUGCGGGAUGACGGCCUUCGGGUUGUAAACCGCUUUCGCCUGUGACGAAGCGUGAGUGACGGUAAUGGGUAAAGAAGCACCGGCUAACUACGUG